UUUUCAAAUAAUAAAAAAUUAAUAAUUACUAAUUUAUUGUUUACUACUUUAACUUUGUAGCAAUAUUCCAAGUGUUAGUUUGUUGUUUGUAAUUAGAUUUUUUUUUAUAUUUUCAUUGUUAAUUUUCUGUUUAAGUUUUCAUUUUGCCAUUUAUAAUGGUAGAUUUGAAAAAAGUAAACAAGAAAUGACAAAGCAGAAUUUACACUAUUUCUUAUUAAAAACAAGAUGGAACUGAUAUUGAACUGUCAAAAGAUUAAAAACUCCAGCUAGUUGCUGUUGUUAUAUCAGGGAAGUUUGAAUUUUCUUAAUUGGAAUAUGAAAUUAAUGUAAAAAUGCUCACAGUAUAGCAAGUUUUGUAACCAGCAAAAUAACUGCCACAAGUUUUAUGGCUUUCAAAUAAGUUUUGCAAGUUUUGUGGCUUGAAAAUAAGUACAACAAGUUUUUUGACUAGCAAAUAAGUGACACAAGUUUUGUUGCUUGCAAAUAAGGUACAGCAAGUUUUGUGGCUUGCAAAGAGGUACCACAAGUUUUGUGGCUUGCAAAUAUAGUACAGCAAGUUUUGUGGCUUACAAAUAGGUAUUGGAAGUUUUGUGGCUUGCAAAUAGGUACUGCAAAUUUUGUGACUUGCAAAAUAAGUAUCGCAAGUUUUGUUGCUUGCAAGUUUUGUGGCUUGCAAAUUGAUAGUUGGCUCUGGCUUACCUUUACAUGGUGUCUUUUGUUAAAAGUUAUUCAUUUUGUUUCAUUAAUGUAAUUUAAAAAUUAAAUUAUUUACUAGAAGCCCAGACAAGAAAUAAUUACAUUUUUUAUUUCAAAAAACUUGUUUUUUUUUGUGUGUUUUUUUCUCAGGUUAUAGUGGUUAAUCUGUUUCUUUACAUAAUAAUGUAUACUCAAAUGCAUCUUGUAAUGUGAUUGUUGGCGACAUAGCUCAGCAAGAAUGAAGACAUUGAUACACUUUUGCAUUAUGGAAUACACAAGUUGGCAGUUCCUCACCCAUUGCCACCCAAAUACAGAUAGUAAAGUUAAACACUUAAUAAAGUACUUGCUGCAAUUACUUUCAAAAGACUAAAACUGGACAUAUUGUUUUAGAAAAAGCUGUAUAAAAAAUCCUUAUCUGUACGUAACAGACGAUGGAGACGAAGUGAUUAUUAUGUGUGGCAAAAGAUUAUUUUAUGAAGUUUUUCAUUUUCUGACUUUGUGAUGGAACUUAUUGGAGUACACUUUUCUUGAACAUAGGAGGAGUAUUGCCGCUACAAGCAUGAACAAUAAUAAAACAUUCCAAAGAUUAGUUUGUUAUUUCAACGAUUAUAUUUGUUGUUUAAAUGUAUAAAUGCUUUUUGUAUAUUCUUAUUAUAUAUCAUCCUAAUUUCAUAA